CCCAUUUUGAACUCCCAGGAGGAGGGCAGUAGUAAUAACAGUGAUUAUUUGGAGGUUAUGGCUUGUUGAGGCUGCCAUUAAAGAGAAAACAGCUCGCCCCGAAGGGAAACUGAGGCCACUUCCAGGAACUGAGAGCAGCGGACCCUCCUCUCUGACUGCAGGGAGAGGUGGUGUGUGGGAAGGAAACAAAACACAAGGGGUUUGGUCUAGGACUCUCCUGUCCUUUGAUUUCCUAGGUAUAGGAGAACCCCCAGAAGCCCCGUCCCCCUAGUUGCUUCCUCUGAUCUGUAAAUUCUGGCUUCUCCAACAUUUCUGAUAUGAUGAUUCAGGAAAAAAGUGGACUUGUCAGAGAGAGGAAGGGAAGAUAAAAAUAAAAUCAAGUUAGCCAGGCCUAUGAGUUCCUCUCAUCUUAGUCAUCCCCUGCUGCCCUUCCCCAUGAACAUCCACAAUCUUAAAAAUCCCACAGCCCUGCGCAGAGUGGGAGCCAGACUUUGGGGUCCAGGUCAAGGCCAGAGGGUGAAGGGGACAUGAUUCAGCCCUGUGGGCCUGCGGACGGACGGGGGGAGUGGGGGGCCCUGCAGGCCCCCCCGCCGCCGAGGACGCAGGGCUGUGGGCUAUGAGUCCUGCCUCACCCUGCAGCCUGCACCGCCUCUGCUUCUCCAAGCGGGAGCCGCCGAGUGAUUGAUGGGCCCCAGCUUGAAUGGAAAGUCCAGAUUCCAGCAACACAGCUUAAGAGGUGAUGGUGAUUUUCGACUCAUUCCCGUUACAAACAGCCGACCUUCCUACCGAGUUCAAGUACCUUCUGCCUGGCCUGGAAGAACCGUAUCUCUCUGUCACCCUCUUCCACUGGCCCUCACCUGCCCUCCCCUGAACAUGCAUUUUGCCUGAGAGGAGGCAGAGGCGGUUGAGAUGGAGUCUUGCUAUAUGGCCCAGCUGGUAAUGCCUAGAUUCUUGAGUCCCUCCCUGGCUCAUCCCUGGGAGAAGCACCGAACCCCAUGUCUGACACCUGUCCAGAAAUGGAGCCUGCACAUUGACUGUAGAUUCCUUGGCAGUGCCUGGAGAAGACCAGGAGAGGAAGCAGAAUACCCUCCUCAAAGAAGCGGACUUCACCUCCAGACCUCCCAGCGGGACUCAGACAAUGGGGCUAGGCAGUCACAUGCCUGCACGUGGAAAGUUUCUGGGACUGCGCUUGGAUCCCAGCUCUGCCUUUACUAGUCAUGUGACCUUGGGAAAAUCACUUGACCUUUCCGUACAGGAGUCCUCAUCUGUAAAAACAGUCUAAGAUUAGGAGCUACCUCAGGGUUGUUGUAGGAAUUAAAUUAAUUCAUGUUUAUAAGUGCUUUGAACAGCGCCUGGCACAUGGUAAGCGCUAUGUGGUAAGUGCUAUCUAUUGAUUACGUAAAUAGAAGUGAUCACCAUUAGACUUUCCAUGCAGAUGAUAUUAUGCAUAUGCAUGUCUCCCGCAUAUGACAUCAUUGGAUCAUUUUGCAAUGGUGGUGAGUUUAUGUUUUUUCUUUUUGUUUUCUUCUUUUUUUUUUUUUGUCAGAUGAAGAAACUGAUGGGAAGUGAAUUGGUUUGUGUUAAACAUUAGGUUUGCUAGGUCCCUCACAUAUUUAUUUAGUCCUCAUAACAAUUGUAUAAAAUAAAUAUUAUUUAUUCAUUUAUUUAUUUGUAAAGAUGGGUCUCACUAUGUUGCCCAGACUGGUCUUGAACUCCCGGGUUCAAGUGAUCCUCCUGCCUUGGACUCCCAAAGUGUUGGGAUUAUAGGCAUGUGCUACUGCACCCAACCUAAAAGAAAUACUAUUAUCCCCAUUUUACAGAUUUGAAAACAGAGGCUCACACUUCAGAGUUCCAUCCUAAAGAAAGUAGGAUGUGACAGGGGAAGAAAUCUGCUUUGCCCCCGCUGGGGGCCUGGCAGCUCCUCAUGCUGGGGUGCACGGUGAGUGGGUGCACCACUCAUCUGUACGUACUUGGCAGAAGCUGUCAAAUCAGUUCACGUCACUCAGGUUGAUUGGACGUAAAACACACACAGAGACACCAAGCAAUUACAUUAUUUUCAAAUUACUCAGCUCUAGGAGAAUGGAAUGAGCAAACAGAAGAGCAGCAACUCUGAGUUAUAUUUCUCAAGACACUGGGGCUCCUGAUGGCAUAGCAGCAGCUUGGUAGAGCUUGGUAAAGAGACUUGGGGUUGGUACCUGAAGGGCAAUUCCUUGGCCAUGACACUGUAGGGAAAAACUUCUAUGGGUGUUGAAAAGACAAGGCGAGGACAAGAAGAGUUGAAAAGGAGCUGCUCUGAAGCAACCUGGCUGUGGAUGGAGGCAGCCACAUGUAGCUUAGGUAGACUGUUAUUGUAAUUUUCUCUGCAACUGAAGAAUUUGAAAUGGGCUUGGGGAUUAAUGAAGAGCAGAAUCUGGCUUCAGGGUGACAAGGUUUGCAUAGAAAUGGCCUUCUUGAGCAAAGGUAGUGACUCCUACCUUUUUUUUUUUUUUUUUUGUAGAGUUACGACACCCAUGUGUUAGUCAACUUGGACAGUCAUAACAAAAUAUCACACAUUGGGUGGCUUAAACAACAGAAAUUUAUUUUCCUAUAAUUCUGGAGGCUGGAAGUCCAAGAUCAAGGUGGUGGCAGAGUUGAGUUUCCUCUGAAGCCUCUCUCCUUGGUUUUCAGAUGGGCGUCCUCUUGCUGUCUCUUCACAUAACUGUUCCUCUGCAUGCAUGCCCCUGGGGACUCUUUCUUAUCUUAUAAUGACACUAGUUCUAUUGGAUUGAAGUGCACCCAUACGACCUCAUCUAACCUUAAUUGCAUGUUGUAAGGCCCUAACUCCAAAUACAGUCACAUUCUGAGGUACUGUGGACUAGGGCUUCAACAUAUAAAUUUUGGAGCAAUCCAGUUCAGCCCAUAAAAUCCCUUUUUGGUUGCUUGAUUCUGUUUAUUUGGUAUCAUGCCUUCCUUUUCCUAAAGAAAUUUAUGAAUAGAAUUACUUUCUAAGUGAAAGAAACAAAACUUAUUUUUAUUAAAAAUUAUUUUGAGACUCUUGUGACAAAUUUUUAAGUAACUGAAGAUUUUCCUGGAGCUUCUACAAAAUCCUGGCUGAGAAUCCCUGCUUUCUGGACAGUUGAGAAGGAAACACACUUAGUACAGCUGUUAGAGGAGAUAUAGUUGCAACCGCUGAGUGCUUAUUAUCUGCCAACUCAAACAUAUUGCCCAAGGGAAUAACAAAUAUCCUAGUAUUCUUGUUAAGUAUAUUGUGUAAGGUCACACAGCUCUUAAACAACAGCUUCGGGAUUUGAACCUGGAAUCUAUCUGACUCCUAAGUCCAGAUGCUGUUCACCACAUUAUGUUGAAGCAUGGCCAGUAUUCAUAACAUACAACUAUGACUCCAUAUCCUUUGCUAACUAAUGUUCUUGUGUGUGCAAACCUUACAGGGCAGCCAUUCACCACAACCCCUACUAGAUGGCUUUCUGUAACGAGAGUAGAACAGUAGUACUCUCCUUUUGAGAAGUCAUUUGUAAUUUUGUUGGUGGGCUGACAUUUAGGUCCUGCUCUCUAGCCCUAGAGGGCAUCCCAUAACCUGGAUCAGGCCAAUGAUAAUUAUCUCCAUGACUGUAGUGGCUGGUCCAGCGGGGAGGGUCAGGCAGGUAAGCUGGCCCAACCUGAGUCCUUCUUGAGGAUUUUAGAAACUGAAGGUAGGAGAGAAAAAUUACCUUUCUUCUUCUGGGGAGCAGGAUGAAGGUGGGUGGGUAGGCAGAGCUGUUGGGAUGUGGAUCCAGGGAUCCUGGAAGUCCUGUCCUCCACCAGGUAAAGAAUACAUCCUGCAGAAGUAGAGAAGGGAGCCAGUACACAGAGAAGCAGAGCCAGGAGAUGGAGAAGGAGAAUCCUGAGAGCGUGAAGGUCCCUGGGUCCAGCCAUUGUCAAGGCUGAGUUCUACCCUCCUUAAGUUGUUUAUCUUUCUUUCUUGCUUCUGUUAGAAGAUGAACACUCAAUGAAAAAUCACCAAACAUCUGAGGAGAGCCAUCAAAAUGAAAUAAAUGAAACAAACAAGUUCUUAAACACAAGUGAACAGCGUGGGCUGAGGUUUUGUCACUUGGAACUGGAAGCACUGACUAUAAUGCUAACCUCUGAGCAGGCCCACAUGAGGGGCAGCUGUGGUGUGGUGUGAUAAUGCUGGGAUAUGAAAUCAGGUGGUUGAGUUUGAGUUUGGCUCUGAUAUUAUAUCAACUGCAUCGUUUGGGGGAAGACACAGCUUCUCAGAAUUUUAUUUAGUUGUAAAAUAAAGAUAAUGAUAUUACAUGUUCUGUCUACCAUCUAGAGUUUUUGUCAAGACAAAUUGGGGUAAAGCAUGUUCAAGAAAAAUGUUAGCAAAAUUUUAAGCCUG
rnacentral:lncRNA from 10 species